rnacentral:rRNA from 1 species
AGAGUUUGAUCAUGGCUCAGAAUUAACGCUAGCGAUACACCUAACACAUGCAAGUUGAACGCAUAUAUUUUUAUAUGAGUAGCGAACGGGUGCGUAACACGUGAGAAUCUACCCAUAGCUUAUGGUUAAAUGCCGUAGAAUCUUAUAGAUUUAGAUAUAUAUCGGUUAUGGAUGAGCUUGCGGGGUAUUAGGUAGUUGGUGUGGUAAUGGCGCACCAAGCCCAAGAUGCCUAGCCGGUUUGAGAGAACGAUCGGCCACACUGGGACUGAGACACGGCCCAGACGCUUACGAGCGGCAGCAGUGGGGAAUAUUGGACAAUGGGCGAAAGCCUGAUCCAGUGAUAUCGCUUUGGGGAUGACGGCGACAUACGUUGUAAACCCAAUGAAGUACGUUUAGAUUAUGACCGUACGUAUUUUAGAAGUCCCGGCUAAUCUCGUGCCAGCAGCCGCGGUAAUACGAGAGGGGCAAGCGUUAUUCAAAAUGAUUGGGCGUAAAGCGCACGUAGGUGGUGAUAUGUAUCCAUAAUUAUUCAGGCUACAAGUCUUGUCGAUAUUUAUGAUGUAUAUGUAUUUCUUGAGGGUGUGAGAGGAGCAUGGAAUUUCCUAGGAAGCGGUAGAAUGUGUUGAUCUAGGAAGGAACACCAAUAGCGAAAGCAGUGCUCUGGCACAUUCCUGACAUUGAGGUGCGAAAGCGUGGGGAUCAAAAGGGAUUAGAUACCCCU